GACGAACGCUGGCGGCGUGCUUAACACAUGCAAGUCGAACGGAAAGGCCUCUUUUGGGGGGUACUCGAGUGGCGAAAGGGUGAGUAAAACGCGUGUGUCCUGCGCUCUUCCCUGGGAGAAAUCUUGGGAACUGGGGCUAAUAUCGGAUAGGGGCUCUCCCUGCUUGGGGGGGGUUGGGGAGAUUUGGGGGUUGUGGGUGUGGUCGCGGCUCAUCAGCUUGUUGGUGGGGUAGUGGCUUACCAAGGCUUUGACGGGUAGCCGGCCCGGGAGGGUGACCGGCCACAGUUGGACUGGGAAUCGGCCCCGGCUCCUACGGGAAGGAGCAGGGGGGAAAAUUUCACAAUGGGUGGGAGCCCUAUGCAGCCACGGCGGGGUCGGGAUGACGGGCUUCGGGUUGGAAACCGCUUUCGCUCAUGACGGAGCUUUGUGUGACGGUAGUGGGUAAAGAAGCACCGGCUAACUACGUG
rnacentral:rRNA from 1 species